rnacentral:rRNA from 1 species
AACGGCCGCGGUAUUUUGACCGUGCAAAGGUAGCAUAAUCAUUAGUCUUUUAAUAGGAGGCUGGCAUGAAGGGUUUGACGAAGUGCUAACUGUCUCAUUUAAUUUUAUAUUAGAAUUUAACUUUUCAGUGAAAAGGCUGAAAUGUAAUUGGAAGACGAGAAGACCCUAUAGAGUUUUAUAACUUUAAUUUUUAUUUAUUUAUUAGUCAUUUUUAAUUUUUAGGUUAUUUUGUUGGGGUGACAAGAAUAUAAGUUCAACUUUUCUAUUUAUUUAUCAUUGAUUUAUGUUUGUUAGAUCCAAUCUUAUUGAUUGUUAGAUUAAGUUACCUUAGGGAUAACAGCGUAAUCCUUCUUGAGAGCUCAUAUCUACAGAAGGGCUUGCGACCUCGAUGUUGGAUUAAGAUAAUGGUUAGGAGCAGCGUCUUAAUACAUAGGUCUGUUCGAC